rnacentral:hammerhead_ribozyme from 1 species
AUACUUCUGAAGAGUCUCAAACUAGGACGAAACAGAUGUCCAGUAC